AUCCCUGUAGCGCAAUGGAUGGAGCGUUGGACUUCUAAUCCAAACGUCGUGGGUUCGAAUCCCAUCUGGGAUA
rnacentral:tRNA from 1 species